ACAAAAAACUCACAUCACUAACAUCAAAACAUAAACAACAAGAUUGGACGACAAUUUUUGACGGAAUUGGUGGCUUGGAUGUGAAGGCCACGACGCACUCACCCAUCCAGUGGUGCCUCCUGGUCAGCUUGGGGCAUCACCCAUUCUCCGGCGGACCGAAUCCUAUGCCAGGCGGUCUGGUGACCGACUCAUCUCGCCCAGAGUUUCCUAUUUGGGUCCUAAGUCCCUGACGUGACCGUGACCCUAGCCAGGGAUGCGCUCGCGCCCAGGCUGCCGCUAAGGAAUCCAAAGAAGUGGGCGGUGCAGAAAUGGCCAACAACCAAAAGUAAAAAAAAAAUGCACCGUAUGUACCCCUUUCCUACCUCGGGUCCCUAAUGGAGCUCCAACAGAAACCACAAGGCACUUGUGUUGCACCAAUCCCGGACUCGUUUUCGGAGACGCGGAGGACAAGACACCAUGGACUCGGUGUUAUCGUAGUCGUGUUACCAAGCAAAACUACACAUAUAAUGGUCUCUUUCAAGGUUCUAAUGAAGUAUCUAAUUAAUGAAAACUGCAUUAGAGUGUCAUACGGCUAUUACGGUUUUAUAUUCCCACUCUUGUAUGCACGAGGUAUAAAAAUAUAAAUUGAUGUAUAAAUGGGAGUCGCUGAAGAUAAUACAAA